rnacentral:rRNA from 1 species
CAGCCGCCACGGUAAUAUGUAGGGUGCAAGCGUUAACCGGAAUUACUGGGCGUAAAGCGUGCGCAGGCGGUUAUAUAAGACAGAUGUGAAAUCCCCGGGCUCAACCUGGGAACUGCAUUUGUGACUGUAUAGCUAGAGUACGGCAGAGGGGGAUGGAAUUCCGCGUGUAGCAGUGAAAUGCGUAGAUAUGCGGAGGAACACCGAUGGCGAAGGCAAUCCCCUGGGCCUGUACUGACGCUCAUGCACGAAAGCGUGGGGAGCAAACAGGAUUAGAUACCCGAGUAGUCCCUGUCUCUUAUAC